GGGGUGUGCUCAGAGCAGGGGUUCCAAAGAAUGGCUCUUCUGUUUAUAACACACCCAAUAGCAAUUUGUGGUCUUUUGUGAGGAAGAAAACAAAAAUGUGUGGCUUCCUAGGAAUAUAAAUGCCCUACAUGU
ensembl:snoRNA